GGGCGGUUAGCUCAGCUGGUUAGAGCGCAUGCUUCACACGCAUGAGGUCACAGGUUCGAGUCCUGUAUCGCCCA
rnacentral:tRNA from 2 species